rnacentral:rRNA from 1 species
UACGGAGGAUGCGAGCGUUAUCCGGAUUUAUUGGGUUUAAAGGGUGCGUAGGCGGAUCGUUAAGUCAGUGGUCAAAUUGAGGGGCUCAACCCCUUCCCGCCAUUGAAACUGGCGAUCUUGAGUGGAAGAGAAGUAUGCGGAAUGCGUGGUGUAGCGGUGAAAUGCAUAGAUAUCACGCAGAACCCCGAUUGCGAAGGCAGCAUGCCGGCUUCCUACUGACGCUGAAGCACGAGAGCGUGGGGAUCGAACAGG